CCUGGCUUCUCUUUUGUAAAUGUCCUUUCUUUGUCACUUGGUCCAAGUCACUACAAGAUUUCUAUUCUGAUGUUCUGGGACAAACUGCCUGCUGGGGGAUGUGGCAGACCUGGACCUACCUCAUCCAUUCUCCUGCACCUUCCCCCCAGACAACUCCAUUUGACCAGAAGUUGGGAUGCAUCAGCAGAUGGAGUAAGGAAUGAGUCUGGCUCCCAGUUAGUAAGACCAGGAAACCCACACCAGGAUGUGACAGGAAAUCCCCCCAAGGGGCUUUCCCAGGUCAGACCUGGGCUGGCUUCAUCCCAAUUUGGACAUGAACAGUCUCCAGGGCACAGGAUGGAAACCCCUUCCCUCCUACAUCCCACGCCACGUCCAGCUGAUCAAGGCCUCAACUCUGCCUCCUGGAGGAACACAGAAGAUGCCCCCCUGCAUUCUCUAGGCUGCAUAGCUGUUGUGGAGAACAGCCUGUAGUGGGAAGAAAGCUCCGCGUGUUUCUAAGACUCUGGUUGGAUUUCUUGGUUUAAAGUCUGUCGGUCACUGGGACACGGGGGAAGAAAGAAUAAAGUCGUUUCCAGAUGUCAACAGCU